rnacentral:rRNA from 1 species
AUGCUUAGUAGCGGCGAGUGAGCGGCAAAAGCUCAAAUUUGAAAUCUGGCACCUUCGGUGUCCGAGUUGUAAUUUGAAGAUUGUAACCUUGGGGUUGGCUCUUGUCUAUGUUUCUUGGAACAGGACGUCACAGAGGGUGAGAAUCCCGUGCGAUGAGAUGCCCAAUCCUAUGUAAGGUGCUUUCGAAGAGUCGAGUUGUUUGGGAAUGCAGCUCUAAGUGGGUGGUAAAUUCCAUCUAAAGCUAAAUAUUGGCGAGAGACCGAUAGCGAACAAGUACAGUGAUGGAAAGAUGAAAAGAACUUUGAAAUGAGAGUGAAAAAGUACGUGAAAUUGUUGAAAGGGAAGGGUUUGAGAUCAGACUCGAUAUUUUGUGAGCCUUGCCUUCGUGGCGGGGUGACCCGCAGCUUAUCGGGCCAGCAUCGGUUUGGGCGGUAGGAUAAUGGCGUAGGAAUGUGACUUUGCUUCGGUGAAGUGUUAUAGCCUGCGUUGAUGCUGCCUGCCUAGACCGAGGACUGCGAUUUUAUCAAGGAUGCUGGCAUAAUGAUCCCAAACCGCCCGUCUUGA